UUUUUAUGGAGAGUUUGAUCCUGGCUCAGAGUGAACGCUGGCGGCGUGCCUAAUACAUGCAAGUCGAACGAUGAAGCUUUUAGCUUGCUAGAAGUGGAUUAGUGGCGCACGGGUGAGUAAUGCAUAGGUUAUGUGCCCUUUAGUCUGGGAUAGCCACUGGAAACGGUGAUUAAUACUAGAUACUCCCUACGGGGGAAAGUUUUUCGCUAAAGGAUCAGCCUAUGUCCUAUCAGCUUGUUGGUGAGGUAAUGGCUCACCAAGGCUAUGACGGGUAUCCGGCCUGAGAGGGUGAUCGGACACACUGGAACUGAGACA
rnacentral:rRNA from 1 species